UCUUGCUCCUCGUUACAUCUUGCUCCAUUAUUAUUUAUUAUAAUCUCUUCUUUAUUGUUUUGUUCUUAGCUCUCACCCUCAAUAUCGAACGAACGAACUAAUCUCUUCCCCUCCCGUCUCCUCAGCUACAGCUAUAGCUACAGCUACUUCCAUGGAAUCCACAGUAUAGUCUCCCGUCUCCACCGGCUAGCCUCCCGUCGUUGUGUCUUUAGCGGACGUCUCACAAUUACUAGCCAAACUGAGCUCCGUUUUCGGUUAAUCCGUUUCUGGGAGUCAAGAAAUAUUACAAAAGGCAGGACCUUUAUUGGGUUGGAGCUCCUCCAAUGCGACGAACAGGGGAUUGUGGUUCAUUUCCUCCGCUCGUGCUCCACGAUACUCGCCUCAUCCCAAAGCAGAAACAACUUACAGCCUUCUGAAUUUUUACGCUACCAGAAACAAGGAGAUUUAUCGAGUUACUGAUCAGAGUUUAACAAUUUCUUUCUUGCUUAAUUUUGUUCUCUCCGUGCUUGACGACAUCAGCCUUUUUAUUGACGCAGGCAGGUUAGGUUCCACUCUCAUGACGAUAUCCAAGGGUCUCAGCUCAGGGGUGAUCACUACGAUGUUGUUGACCACUUGAAGCUGGUCAAUGGACAGUCUCUCAAUGACUGUUGAUCCAUCCUUGACGAAGUGGAAAUAGCAACCACAUGUCGUUUUUUGGUUCAUUUACAGUCAAAGGGGGGACCUGUUAAGAUUUACCUUUGGCACCAGGCUGCAAAAGAUUUCUAUAAGUAGUUCACACCCAGUGAAAACAAUCCCACUGUGCUUUAGUCACGACGGUGAACACAAAACGCCUUGCAGGUUGAUUUCUAACGUAGAAUUACGUUGCUGUUCAAGUGUAUGUGUUAAUUAUGACUUUACCAAUAUGUUGCCAUUUGUGAAACCGCGUCACUAACGUGUCUUUUUUAAUGAGUUAACCAAAAACAGGGAAUUUAGCUCUCAGUUCUGUGUCAUCCUCACGUGUCUUCAUAGACAAAGUUGUCCAGCCGACUAUUGAUUACUUCAGCUGGUUCAGUUCUAACCCAGGGAUUGCUACUCUGGUUAAUGCUGAGGAGGUUACUAAAGCUGAGCCAAUGACAAUUCUGCAAAUAUUUGCUUACAUCAAGCUGGAAUCCGCCGAGUUAGUGCAUUUUCAAAUGGCUGUGGAUUCAUUGCUGAUGAGAGAAAUGGGAGUGGCAGUGCCAUUGACAAAUCACAUAAGGCUAAGCGUGCAAAACAUGGAAAAUUAAGCUUCUAGCACCCAUUCCAUUCGGUGCAUUAUGGUUGUCAGAUUGAGCCAAGACUAUGAUUUGUCGUUUUAUUUUGAACUUCCACUCUUGCUUUGGUCUAAUAUUUGCAAAGAAUAUGCUUCUUUGUUUAGACUUUGAUUCAUUAGAAUGCUUAAUGAUUUACAGCUUUCAAAAGAAGCACUUGGUAUCUUAUACUAUGACUACUGUAGCUCAAGUGAGUGUAUGGUACGGAGACAUCAAUUUUUCUCUGAUCA